AUAGGUGGCAAGCGUUGUCCGGAAUUAUUGGGCGUAAAGCGCGCGCAGGCGGUUCUUUAAGUCUGAUGUGAAAGCCCACGGCUCAACCGUGGAGGGUCAUUGGAAACUGGAGAACUUGAGUACAGAAGAGGAAAGCGGAAUUCCACGUGUAGCGGUGAAAUGCGUAGAGAUGUGGAGGAACACCAGUGGCGAAGGCGGCUUUCUGGUCUGUAACUGACGCUGAGGCGCGAAAGCGUGGGGGAGCAAACAGGAUUAGAUACCCUGGUAGUCCACGCCGUAAACGAUGAGUGCUAAGUGUUAGGGGGUUUCCGCCCCUUAGUGCUGCAGCUAACGCAUUAAGCACUCCGCCUGGGAGUACGGCCGCAAGGCUG
rnacentral:rRNA from 1 species